CCAAUCCCAGGGAAGACAGGAGAGCACUCCUCUAAUGGGAGUCUGGAGCCGUAGGUAGCGGUGGCGGCCUGCGACCCCGCUAGUGCUCCAGCAAGCGGGAGGCACGCGUCCAGUGCAUUCGCGAGAUCCAGCUGCCGGUCCCUGGAAUCUACUCGCGCGAGGCAGCGGCUGCACCGACGGCCCGAGGUUCCCGGUCAGCGGGUUGCGGAGUAUCGUGCGGGUAGCAAGGGGAGGGCGAGUGCUCCUGCGGCCCCCAGACGGCAACCAGUUGGCUGAGAUGGAGAUGACAAUAGUACAAUGGCGACCACGUUUUGAAGAUGGCAGACCAUCUACACAGAAGGUGCCUAGGACCCUGAAUCACCACUUAGAAGAGGGCAGCCCAGCUAUUAACAACUGUUUUGGAAGAUUGCAGGAGAACCUGCAGCCAAUGUAACUGUGCCUUGGGGACAGGGAAAUACCCAGACCUUUUGAAAUAGACUGGAUACUGGUUCUGAGUUAAUCCCCUGUGACCUAGACAUCACCAUGGUCCACCAGUCAGAGAGGGAUAAAGCAUGCGUGAAGAGUCAGCCUGAGUCCUUCUCAUAUUGGGCUCACGGGAUCGCAAAUCCCAUCCUGUGGUUUGCUGGUUCCUGGACACAUUAUGGGAAUACACAUGGUAUAGAUGGCAUAAAGGGUAGGAGAGCUACGUAUGAAGAACAAAGUAGUGAGUGGAAAGAUCAGACUGAGGAUCUCUUCUAGAAAUCAACAGAUAAGAAU